AGCUGGUUCUCAUGCAUCAAAUACCCAUCAAGCACAUAAAGAUUUUCAUAAGGAUGGCCUUGAGAACACUUACACCAUACUUCUCCAAAGUCCUCCUCAUUGGAGUAUAGCUCCUUUAGCUGCUCAAACCCUACAAUCUCAUGGCUCAAAAUCACUAAUAAUGCUCCACGCCAACUCAAAGCAUCUGAUAUCCAAUUUUAAACUUUCGAUUUGUGCUUGAGUCUAAAAGAAAAUCGUUGCAAGAAUUAGCACCACCUUGCAUUUAUAUCCUUGCUAAUCCUCUUUUGGCUAUUUAGGUACUUCAAGGCCUCGUGGUCUGAAUACAAGAUGAACUCUUCACUUAUCAAAUAAUGCUCCCAAGUUUU
rnacentral:misc_RNA from 1 species